UUGAAAUUCAAAUCCAAAUCAAAAUUUUGAUUCCAAACGGGGCCCAAGUUAAUUCAUGUACGUAUAGCAGCGCUCGAUCUCAGUCCCCCUUGGUUCUCCUCUGGUCGCUGUUAAUUACCUCUAACGUACAAUGAAUCCUGAGGAAUCCAAGAAAACCGUUGUUUCAGUCGGGCCGUUUGGAUUAUCGAAGGAGCGAGGAAAACCCUCUGAUGAUGGAAUACAGUAAUACACUCAGCAGUGAAAGGUUUGGUGAUAUUUCAUGUUCCAGAUCGAGUCAGCAAUUUUGUACGUCCAGUUUGAAUAUAACGAGGACGGAAUCUCAACUUGGUCAGACAAGCAUGGUGAUAGAAAUAUCCCUGUGAAGUACUUGGCUGGGCUAACCAACCAAGACGUCCCCUUCAGAAGAGAAAGCAUUAUGUUCAAAUAUUAUCCAGACGAAUUUUUGACUUCAGUUCAUGGGCAUUGUCAAGAAGACUGGACCGGGUCCUUUGUCACCUCGCUUACUUUUAACUUUUAAGACCAACAGAAAAGCUUACGGACCCUUUGGGUCGACUCAAUAUCGCAACCCGAGAGACUGUUUUACAAUCCAUGUGCCUGGAAGUAAGAUAGUUGGUUUUCAUGGCAGAACAAACAAGAAGUGGUUGGGUGCUGGUAUUGCUUCAAUUCAAUAGGAGCAUACCUAAAGCCUCAUGAUCAACAAAUUGAAUAUCCUCCGUCAACAACACUGAAACAAGCAGGAUAUCCUUCGCAAACCAAGCUCAAGAAAGAUGACAGACCCCAAUACCAGAAACAUUAUACAAUUCAAGAUAGUCAAGGUACAAAUGAUUUCCUAAUUUGAGCACCAGCCAACAACUUAAUGUCAAGUUGUGACCAAGUAGAAAUUACUUCAGCAGCAAGAGCUUUCAUUUUCUAUUAGCUUUCUUUCAAUCUUAAAAGGCCAAAUCAGUCAAUCCCAAGAUCAUAUGAUGAUAAAAGUGGCAAACCAUUUUCUACAGCAAGUGUAAUCAUUUUAGCGUAGGAUCUCUGUGUGUAAUC